rnacentral:rRNA from 1 species
CCUACGGGGGGCUGCAGUGGGGAAUAUUGGGCAAUGGGCGCAAGCCUGACCCAGCAACGCCGCGUGAAGGAAGAAGGCUUUCGGGUUGUAAACUUCUUUUAAGAGGGAAGAGCAGAAGACGGUACCUCUUGAAUAAGACACGGCUUACUACGUGCCAGCAGCCGCGGUAAUACGUAGGUUGCAAGCGCUGUCCGGAUUUACUGGGGGUAAAGGGCGUGCAGCCGGGAAGACAAGGCAGAUGUGAAAUCCCGGGGCUCAACCGCGGAACUGCAUUUGAAACUGGUUUUCUUGAGUACCGGAGAGGUCAGCGGAAUUCCUGGUGUAGCGGUGAAAUGCGUAGAGAUAAGGAAGAACACCAGUGGCGAAGGCGGAUGACUGGACGGCAACUGACGGUGAGGCGCGAAAGCGUGGGGAGCAAACAGGAUUAGAUACCCGUGUAGUC